AAAUCCCCCAUCUCCCUCUCCCUCGCCCGCUCUCUUCGCCCCGCGCGAGAUCGCCGCGUCACCACCGCUGCGUUGUCGUCACCACGACCAACGAGCUCUCCGCCGCGGGAGAACCUACCAGGAGCCCCGCGUCGCUCGUCCACACCGUCCUCGCCCGCAAGCUCGAGCCGCGGAGGUCGUCAUCACCGGAUCGGGCAUCUUCCCCUGUUUCGGUCGCCGCCAUCCCGCCGCGUCGUUCAGCUCCUCCGGUCCUCCCCGAGCCUCUCCGGCCUGUCCCCGGCCUCCCCGAGAAUACCAUCCGCCUCCUGGUGAGCUCCUCUCCCCAUCCCCCUCUUUUCCUUGCUCGAUCCGUCACCGUAUCGUCGUCCUCGCGAGCCUGGCCGCCAUGGCCGACGCUUUGCGUCCGAGAGCAAGCUCGCCUGCCCAUCCCCGCGCCUCUGCUCCUCGCAGUGCGCCCAUAGCAGCUCCUCGUCGCGCCUUGCCUUGCGCCCGGCUGUGCCUCGACGCACGCGUCCGCCCCCGCGUUGCCGUGCUCCCGGCCGCCCCUGCGAGCCGCCGCAGCCUGCUCCUGCGCUGCUGCUACUUACUUCUCUACUUGCUAUUGCUAUGCGUUGCUACUAGCGCUGCUGCUGCAUCCUACUACUGCCGCUGCUUACUGUACUUUGUAGUUACUAGCUAGCUUUUCUAGUUUUACAAUGACUAACACUCUAGAUAGUCCCUAAACGGUGGCUAACCAAUUACUAACUUGGGAAAAAAUAAUAUGAGUAGAAAGUUUGCAUGACGAACUCCAUUUUAUCCCACUAGACCAAAUCCCUUCGAUGUCUGUAUUAAAUCCUAUCAAAAUCGCAAAAUGCUUUGUUUUGUUAAAAGGGAACAGAAGUAACUCCUAGGUACGUGCUUUAUGUGUGUAUUCUGUAGAUGUGUGUACAGCGUGUGUGUGGCCGGUGUGCCCAUGUGUGUAGGGCUGCCCCAAAGCAGCGUGUGUGUGUGCUGUGUAGGAGUGUGUGUGUGUGUGUGUGUGUGAUAUUUGUGCAGCGUGUGAGUGUGUCUGGCCGAUGUGCCAUGUGUGUGGGGCUGCCCCAAAAUUAGUUUAGGUCUAAUUUAAAUAGAUGGAUUACUUUUAGGAUUAUUUUUGCUCCUUAGCUAGUUUUAUUAGUGCUAAGUUACUCUAGUAGUAGAUGACAUGUAGGCCCUCUUUUUAAAUAAGUUAGGUUUAGAGUCUAUGACAUGUGGGCCACACCUAUCCUUUUGACUAGUCAAAUUGACUUGGUCAAUUCGGUUUAAGCUAAAUAUAAUAAUUCUAGAAUAUUGUUAAAACUUUAGAAACAUAAUAUAAAAUAAUAUGUAACUCGGAUGAAAAAACUUUGUACAUGAAAGUUUCUCAGAACGACGAGACGAAUCCGGAUAAGCAGCCCUUCUGUCCGCCGCGCAUCCCUAGCAUAGCGAACACGCAACUUUUCCCCCUUCGGUUUAUUUGUCCGAAAACGUCAAACACCGGGAAUACUUUUCCGGAUGUUUCCCUCCUUCGCCGGCAUCGCCUAGCACCGCGUUAGGGCAUAUCUAGCACCGCGUAUUGCCUCGUUAUGUUUUGAGAUGAUUUGUUUGCUCCAUAUUUAUUGUUUCUUCCCCCUCUUCUUCUCCGGUAGACCCCGAGACCGGCGCUGAUGCCACUGAGUACGACUACGUCCCGACGAACCCUUCUUGCCAAAGCAACCAGGCAAGCCCCCCCUUUGAUCACCAGAUAUCGCCUAUUCUUCUCUCUACUACUUACAUUAGAGUAGUGUAGCAUGUUACUGCUUUCCGUUAAUCCUAUCCUGAUGCAUAGCCUGUCCUUGCUACUACUGUUGUUACCUUUACCUGCAAUCCUAAUGCUUAGUAUAGGAUGUUAGUUUAUCAUCAGUGGCCCUACAUUCUUGUCCGUCUGCCAUGCUAUACUAUCGGGCCGUGAUCACUCUGGAGGUGAUCACGGGUAUAUACUAUAUACUUUAUACAUGAUACAUGUGAUGACUAAAGUUGGGUUGGCACGAGGAGUACCCGCGGUUGAUUCACGAAUUGGGGGCUGGAAGGACAUACUUUCCCGACGGUCCUCUGUGUGGAUCUUUGUGGCGAAGCGACAUGGCAGGUUGAGACCACCUAGAAGAGAGGUGGGCCUGGCCCUGGUCGGCGUUCACGGCUAUUUUAAGAUAACACGUUUAACAAGAUCUUGGUAUUUGAUCCGAGUCUGGCCACUGGCCUAUACGCACUAACCAUCUAUGCGGGGACUGUCGUGGUUCUAAGCCUGACAGUAGAGUGGGGGGUGGGUAUUGAGAGGCAAGGUCCUAGCUAUGGAGAGGUUGUAAGCACAAAGGAUGUACGAGUUCAGGCCCUUCUCGGAAGAAGUAACAGCCCUACGUCUCGGAGCCCGGAGGCGGUCGAGUGGAUUAUGAAUGUAUGGAUUACAAGGUGCCGAACCCUUCUGCCCGUGGAGGGGGGUGGCUUAUAUAGAGUGCGCCAGGACCCCAGCCAGCCCACGUAGGAGAAGGUUUAAGGUGAGUUAAGUCUGGGCGUUACUGGUAACGCCUCACAUAAAGUGCCUUUACUAUCAUAAAGUCUACUUAAUUACAGACCGUUGCGGUGCAGAGUGCCUCUUGACCUCCUGGUGGUCGAGUGCGUCUUAGUGGUCGAGUCCUUCAGGCCAGUCGAGUAUGUCCUCGUUGGUCGAGUGAGUCCUCGUUGGUCGACUGGAAGGCGACCUCUUCUAGGGAUGACUUAGGGUAAGUUACUUGGGACAGGUCCGUGACCCUACCCUAGGUACGUAACCCCAUCAUUAGCCCCCGAAUGGAUUGAGGCUUCGAGUGAAGAAGGAGUUGACGUCGUUUCCGAUUAACUUUUGCGCUCUAGUUGUGCGCUGUUCUGGAUCAAAGAAUCUCUUCGUCGACAAGGAGCAAUUCGUCUUCGGUCGACUCGAUCCAUUCUGUUUUUGCGUCGAGUGAUCUUCCGAGCUUCGUCGAUCUCCGAGCGACGGAUCGCCGGAAUCGCCGCGUCUGACAGGCAGAUUUGUUGUUCGCGGAUUCUGCGGGGUGCGAAAUUUGGGGGCGCGCGCGAAGCGGGGCGGACCGCGGCGUUCGGAUGGGACGGGGAGUAGACGCCUCGAUCUCCGCGCCGCCUUUUUCGCCACGUAUCCAGUCUCCAUAACUGCUCUCAGAUAUGAUUAGAUCGACCGGGCCCACACGUCAGCCACUCGGAAGGGACCUUAUAAAUGUGCCUGGCGAGGAUUUCUGUGCUGCGCCUCCGCAUUCUCCCUCUCUCCCUCUGCUCUCUUCCUCCCUGCUCAGCGUGCCUGCCCUCGCUUCCGCACCGCUCCCCUUCGUGCAUCCCACCGGCGACCAUGGUCAAGGAGAAGACGGCGGCGUUGGAGCGUGCCAAGAAGGCGUCGGCAUCGGAGAAGGCGAAGGGGAGAUCCACCAGCCGCCGAGGAUCCUCGUCCAGAUCCCGCCUGCCGAAAGGCUGGGUCCAGGGCGACUGGAUCCAGUCGACCAUCACGGAGAAGGACCUCCUCGACAUGGCCGACGAGGGUUUGAUCCCUCACGGAGCCGCGAGGUUGCCGGGGAAGGAGUGGCAGCCACAGCCAGAAGAGGGUGAGUGUGUGCUCCUGGCCACUCAUGUCGAUCGGGGGUUUUCCUUGCCACCGAGCAUUUUCUUCCGGGGUUUCCUGAAUUUCUUUGGGGCGCAGCUCCACCACUUUACCCCAAACUCCAUUGCCUACCUUGCUGCGUUCGUGUCCAUGUGCGAGGGUUUCUUGGGCUGUCGACCGCACUGGGGUCUGUUCAAACGUAUCUUCACGUGUCGCUCUCAGACCGUGAAGAAGGCGAGCCCAGGUGACGAGAAGACCCGAGUCGUCCAAAUGUGUGGGGGCCUGGGGAUUCAGGUGAGGAACAAUAGCACCUUCCCGCCCAUGUCUUUUCCCGAGUCCGUCAGGGGCUGGCAGUCGACUUGGUUCUACUGCCAGGUCCAGUCGACGCCAGGGCAGUCGAGUGGACUCCCUCCGUUUACCAUGGACCGAGUGAACAAGCCCUCCCCUCUGAAGCUGAUUCCGGAGGAGAAAGCCGACGUGAAGAUGUUGAUGGAGCGCGUGGUGCAGCUGGUUCGGGACGGUGUGACAGGCAUGGACCUCCUGGAGGUUUUCCUCAAGCGUCGCAUCCAGCCUCUCCAGUUCAGGAGCCACUGCAUGUGGUUGUACUGCGGGCCCGAAGACGAGACUAGAGUCCAUCCAGAAGAAGUCGACGAUGUCACUCUGGAGAGAUGGAUGGCAGCCAUUACCGGAAACAGGGACAACCCGCGCGGAGCCAGAAGAAUCCCUCCACUCGACCACGACAGCAUCCCAAACAAGGUACACUUGCUCUGCUUUCCAUUGUCCUUGUCGUAUUCAUUUCUGCUAACCCUGUCGACUGGUCGACUGAUCCUUGUUUGGGCGACUGCUAGGCCUUCACCGAGCUAUACUCGAUGCCCAAUGGGGCACAAGCUUCGACUGAGGAAGGCGAGGCGAGCGGGGGCGAGGCGAGCGGGGGCGAGGCGAGCGGGGGCGAGAGCCAGGAAGAGGAGGAAUGGGACUCGGAUGCUGCAGGGGAUGAUGACGACGAUGAUGAUGAUGAAGGUGAUGAAGAUGACAUCGAGGACGAGGAAGAAGAGGAAGAGGAGGUCGUUCCACCGCGCUCAGAAAGGCGGUCGAAGCUUGUCCACGACCCUUCGACCGAACGUGGUAAGGGGGUUGCGACCGCCACCCAGUCGACCAAGCGCCCCCGGACCACCUCUCCGGCGCCGACUGAAAAGGCGCCGAAGCAGCCUAGGGCGGCUUCAUCGAAGCCGACCAAGCUCCUGCCGAAGAUGAAGGUGUCCAUCCCCACCAUUUUAGGGUAAUUGUGUUGCUCAUAUUUUCUUAUUCUUAUGCGAACUUUAUCUCUGGUCGACACUGAGGUUAGUCGACUGCUCCUUUGGUGUUGCAGUGCUGCUACUUCUGAGACCUCAGCCCGGGCCGACGACCACGAGAUGGAGGAUGCCGCAACUUCGAAUCCAGGUGCUGUGUUCUUAAUACCAUUCUUAGUCGACUGACUCGCGAUCUCUGAUCCUGACCCUUCUCUGCAGCUCCACCCAACACUGUUAUCGAUCUUCCUGAUGAUGAUGAGGAUGAAGAGCCGCUGAAGCACAGGAGGAGUCGAAAAGCGUCCGCCAGCAAGGUGCCUCAGGAUGUGUCAGCGCCUGAAAUUCUGACUGUGGAGGGAGAGAACACCACUCGACACACGGUGACCUUCGCGACUCCACUGACGAGUGCUCAGCAGCCCUCCCUCUUCACGACUCACCACGUCCCAGAGGACCAAGCUGGUGCGGCGAAGGAGGCGAUACGCCAGGCGGGACUCAUGAUGGAGCAGCUGAAGACCAUCCGGGAUGCGAGCCAGGCAGCUUAUGACGCCAGCUCUGCCCUCCAAAGCAAUGUCCAGGUCAGUCGACUGCUGUUUGUUCUGCUGGAUAUGCUACCAAAAACUUUUCUUUUCCGGGAUUUAUAUUAGUCACCCACUGGGAGUGUCGAAUAAACUCCGUGUUAGCGGGGGCACGCUGAGUGCACCCGCUGGGUGUAGUCCCCAAGGCUAAGGUCGACUGCUGGCAGUCGGCCUUAGGCUUUAUAAUGUCAAUCUUUCUAUCAGUCGACUGGUCGACUGGAUUUCGCAAACCGGUGGGGGCACGCUGAGUGCACCCACUGGGUGUAGUCCCCGAGACUGUGGUCGACUGCUUGCAGUUGAUCACAGUCUUAGAUAAUGCGUCUCGCACACUGUUUUUUUUUUUGAGGUCGACUGGUCGACUUUGUCUUCGACAGGAUUAGUGGGGGCACGCUGAGUGCACCCACUGGGUGUAGUCCCCGAGACUACGGUCGAAUACUUGUAUUCGGCUGUAGUCUUAGAAACGUGUGUUUUUCCCUUUUUCACUCGGAAGUGAAUUAUUUUUGACGUUUGGUCGAUUGGUUCUUCGCAGAACUCCUGUGAUCUUGUGGCUCGCUACUCAGAGCUAGAACAGAAACAUACUCAAGUCGAGCUGAGCUUGAAGCUGGUUCAGGAGAAGCUGACAAAGGCGAAGGAGGAGACUGAAGGUAUGUUUGGUGAGACCUUGACGACUGCUUUUCCUCUUGCUUGUUUCAACACCUGAUCUUGCCGUGUCUUGCAGGUAAGGUAAAGGAGGCCCAGCAGAAGAAAGACCUUGAGCUAGCUGAGAAGAUCAAGCUUGCUGACGAGAAGUUAGCUUCAGUCACCAAGCUUGAACAAGACAAUACCAACCUGAAGACUGCUCUUGGGAUUGCCAACAAAGAAGUCAGUCGACUGAGAACUGACA
rnacentral:lncRNA from 1 species